GAUGAAGAACGUAGCGAAAUGCGAUAAGUAAUGUGAAUUGCAGAAUUCAGUGAAUCAUCGAAUCUUUGAACGCACAUUGCGCCCGCCAGUAUUCUGGCGGGCAUGCCUGUUCGAGCGUCAUUUCAACCCUCAAGCCCUGCUUGGUGUUGGGGAUCGGCGUUGCCUCCUCCGUCGUUCGCGGCGGGGUGAGGUCGCCGCCACCGAAAUGAAUUGGCGGUCUCGUCGCAGCUUUCCUUUGCGUAGUAACAUACCACCUCGCAACCAGGAGCGCGGCGCGGCCACUGCCGUAAAACGCCCAACUUUUUCAAGAGUUGACCUCGAAUCAGGUAGGAAUACCCGCUGAACUUAAGCAUAUCAAAAGCGGAGGA
rnacentral:misc_RNA from 1 species